rnacentral:rRNA from 1 species
UGGUGGGUAGUUUGACUGGGGCGGUCUCCUCCCAAAGAGUAACGGAGGAGCACGAAGGUUGGCUAAUCCUGGUCGGACAUCAGGAGGUUAGUGCAAUGGCAUAAGCCAGCUUGACUGCGAGCGUGACGGCGCGAGCAGGUGCGAAAGCAGGUCAUAGUGAUCCGGUGGUUCUGAAUGGAAGGGCCAUCGCUCAACGGAUAAAAGGUACUCCGGGGAUAACAGGCUGAUACCGCCCAAGAGUUCAUAUCGACGGCGGUGUUUGGCACCUCGAUGUCGGCUCAUCACAUCCUGGGGCUGAAGUAGGUCCCAAGGGUAUGGCUGUUCGCCAUUUAAAGUGGUACGCGAGCUGGGUUUAGAACGUCGUGAGACAGUUCGGUCC